rnacentral:lncRNA from 1 species
ACCCACAAAAAAAAUACCAUGAACUGUACUGGAUCAUUACUUCCAAGUCACACAAACUAGUCUGCUAAUCGUUGGAAAUGAUUCUAGUCUGUUAAUGUAUGACUGAGCUAAUAGUAGUAAUCUGUAAUAUUAUAGAAUAAACAACAACAGGGAUUGUUGUUGUUUAUUAUAUAAUAUUACAGUACUAUUGUUGUUUGUGUAUUAUAUAUUAUUUACAGUUUCACCUACUAUUAUAUAUUAUCUACAGUUUCACCUACUAAUACACCGCCAGGCACUUCUGCACUCACACCUGAAGAUGCCAUCUCAACAACUCCACCACUAACCAGCAGUCAGCUACCAACAUCCAGCACAUACCAUGAAACACCUGAGGAGCCCUCGGCUGUUAUGGAGAAGCCAAAAGAGAUCACUACACCGCCAGGCACUUCGGCACUCACACCUGAAGAUGCCAUCUCAACAACUCCACCACUAACCAGCAGUCAGCUACCAACAUCCAACACAGACCAUGAAACACCUGAGGAGCCCUCGCCUGUUACGGAGAAGCCAAAAGAUCCCACCAGAGUCAUCAUGAGAGUGAGAGGCUUCCUGCACACAAACACGGGAGAGGAGGCAGUACUGGAGGCCUUAAGGAAAGUAAGUUAAAUGCCAUGCUUUAACAGUGGAUCACUUCAGUCAUUAUAAAAGACUAGACUAUAUUACCUUUUAACAUUUACAAAUAGAUUAAUAUCCAUUAUGAAAAAGGGACACACCAAAGUCAUUAUCUCCAAGAACACAAAUGUGAUGUAAGAUGUCUAGAAAUAUGUACGAGUAAACUAAAUAUCACGGGCAGA